CACUCCUGCGGGAGGCAGCAGUGGGGAAUAUUGCACAAUGGGCGCAAGCCUGAUGCAGCCAUGCCGCGUGUAUGAAGAAGGCCUUCGGGUUGUAAAGUACUUUCAGCGGGGAGGAAGGCGAUAAGGUUAAUAACCUUGUUGAUUGACGUUACCCGCAGAAGAAGCACCGGCUAACUCCGUGCCAGCAGCCGCGGUAAUACGGAGGGUGCAAGCGUUAAUCGGAAUUACUGGGCGUAAAGCGCACGCAGGCGGUCUGUCAAGUCGGAUGUGAAAUCCCCGGGCUCAACCUGGGAACUGCAUUCGAAACUGGCAGGCUAGAGUCUUGUAGAGGGGGGUAGAAUUCCAGGUGUAGCGGUGAAAUGCGUAGAGAUCUGGAGGAAUACCGGUGGCGAAGGCGGCCCCCUGGACAAAGACUGACGCUCAGGUGCGAAAGCGUGGGGAGCAAACAGGAUUAGAAACCCCAGUAGUCC
rnacentral:rRNA from 1 species